rnacentral:lncRNA from 1 species
CAGCAGUCGGAGAUUUUAGUGAACCAACAGUGAGGAACUCACUAUAUCACAUCUCAUGAAGAUAUAUUACUGUGACAUUGCAUUCCUUUUGGUAUGUUAAAUGCUAACAAUUACACAUAUGUAAUAAGACCAUUUUUUAUAAAGAGUGGAAAGGGAAAUGAGCGGUUCUUGCAUGCACCAGAGGAUUUUCAGAGCUGAAAUAAUAGAAAAUGCAUAGCCUAUUAUUGUGUAUUUGGCAAGGUCUCGCCUCAGAGAAAUGGGUGUAGGACGUGGCUUAAUUUUCCAUUAGGAAAACCCCAUGGGUCUCAGGACUCUUGUAAUCAAUGUAAUUGUUGUUGGCCCCUCCUUUGCCAUUAGGACUUGUGGCAACGGACAUAACCUUGUAUUCCUGACAGCACAUUGAAACCCGUGUACAGAGAGUAUAUUCAACAAAAUAAUUUUAAAAGAGGUUGAAAAUCCUUCAUAUAAACCGACAAGGGCCUGUGAUUGCAGAGCAGACAGAUCCUGCAAACUACAUCGUUCAUUGGGAGAUGGAAUACCGUUACGAGAUGGAGCCCUUGUCUAUCCGCUUUCUUCGGACCUUCAAAGAACUUCUGAAAUUUGUUCUCUUCAGUUACACAGUGCUGUUAGGUGCUUUGCUCUUAGCAGGCUGGACAACAUACUUAAUGGUUGCAAAAUAAAAAGGGGAACUUUGAGUUGCUUUAUUAGGCUAUAGAGUGGCUAUUAUAAAAUAAUUUGUGUUAUGUUGUUGUUAAAAUAGCCACACUGUACAGUGAAUGUGUCCAACAUGACCUGGGACAAAUAUGUUACCAAAUAAUAAAGCUAUAACGGCAUGUUCCCAAAUAGUAGCAGAACGUAUGUUGUGUGAUAUUGUGUAGAACAUUUGUUUAUCUAUUAUUUUUGUGUUAUUUUAGUUUCCCCCGUAGAAUGAAGAAAGUCCCCAUCACAGUUAAUCAAUGCACUGGUCCUUUUUAGCUUUGGUCAUGAUCAUGUUGUAAGCUUAUUUCUUGGCCAUGUUUCUAAGAGGAUGGAUUUAUGUGCAAAUUCAAAGUAC